CCCACCAGACUUCAAGGAAAGAGAGCAAAUUACAGCAUUCAAUACUGAUCAAACCUCUCAUCUGUUGUGCCCUUUUUUUUUGAAACACUUGAAUUCAAUUCAAACCAACUUAUAGAGCUCCAAAAAACACCAUUUUGUUAUUUGAUCCAAGCUCUAACCAUAGGAAGGAUGGAUGCAAAGAGAUGUAGGAAAUAGAAUGAUGAUGUAGUUGCAGUUAUCCAAAGAUACAAUGAAAAGAACAAAGAAUUCACCAUUGGUAAGAAGAAUUUGACCUUCUCAAUCAAUGACAUGAUCUUGAUUUUUGCAUUGGAAGGUGGUAAAGGUACCAUGUCAUUGAAAUACACAAAGAAGCCAAACACACCAUUCCUAAGGCGAAGAUUUCCAAAGGCAACGAGGAUAACUGGUCCUGUACUGAAGCAGACAUUGACAAAAGCAAUGAAAGGGAAGUAGCCAAAUGACUUUAAAGAUGUAGCAAUCAUUGUUACCCUCUACUUGUGUCUAACCUUAUUUUUUGCAACAAGUAGGGAUUCAAUAAGGUGGGUUUUUAUCAAGUAUGUAGAACCGCUUGAAGCAAUGAAGAAGUAUGAUUGGGCAGAAGCAAUAACAACAUUGAUCGAUUCUAUACAAGCAUUGCACAAAAUUCCAAAGAAAGUUACAAGUAUUGACUAUGCAAACAUGCAAAUAUCAUCGACUGGAAAGAAAGUAACACCACCGACUUCCCAAGAUAUGCCAAGAAGAACCUACAAAAAUUGAGCAACCAAUUGUAGAAGACACCAAUCAAGUCUCUUACACAUCAAUAGUUGGAAUGCAAGUGCAACAAUAGCCAACAGGCUAAAAAGAAAGAAUAGUAGACAAACAACAAGCAAAAGCAAAGGCAAGAGUCUAUGUGAAAAAAUAUCCUACAUCCAUUAUAAAGAAUUUGAAGGCAAAGGAAAGGAAAGCAAAACCCUGACUUUGAAUAUCCCAGAGUUGCAAAGAUGACUAGAGCUUCAAAGCAAGAUGCAAAGCCAAUAGACCAAACUGCCAAAGAUGAAGAAAUUUUUGAUGUCAAUGACUAUGUCUAGCCUCAACCAACAAAUCCCAUAAAAUUUUGGGUAGCAUUUGGUAGAGUUUUAGAAUUAUGAUUUGAAAAUAGAAUUGUAUUUUGAGUUUGUGAGUUUUGGAAUUAUGAUUUGAUUGCGGAAAUUUAUUUGGUAAUGAGUUUUGAAUUGA